AUGGGGUCCUGUUAUACCAUGAGAAAGAAAACCUUUAUUUCAACAGGCAACAACUUAGUAAGGAAACUCCAGGAAUGUUUUUUUGAUUUUAUUUAUUUAUUUAUUUAUUUUCCCUAGCAGACCUAUAAACACAUUUGGGUAGAAGGGCAAAGGCUGGGUUCCUGCCCUCCUCAUCUCAGCUGUCCAUGGGGACUUGUCAGAUUUGUUGCCAUCACGUCAGCAGGGCAGGAGGCAGCUAAAAUCAGCUUCCUGCCAUAAGGGAAUACGCGGCAGAUGGCACUGUUUCUUUAGCAGUCUGCACCAGCCUCCUUUUCCCUUUGUGGGAAGUUCCAGGCUCAGGAUUUCACCUCUGUGAAGGAAAAGAUGUGGUACAUCAUGUUUUGAAGAACAUAAGCAGAUUUGACAGAAGUCUGGAACUAAGGAUGUGCUUUCAUGGAAAUGGAAAUUUAAGGCUGCAUGGAUUUCACUCCCAUCUCUUAAGCAACCAUCUUGGACCAUCUUCUUUUGGAAGAGACACCCACCAUAUGUACAUUCAUUGUCAACAGUUUGGAUUCUGAGUUUUCUUGGAUUAAUAAAUACUCCUGAUUUUCUAGCA
rnacentral:lncRNA from 1 species